GUCGAGCGAACGGACGAGAAGCUUGCUUCUCUGAUGUUAGCGGCGGACGGGUGAGUAACACGUGGAUAACCUACCUAUAAGACUGGGAUAACUUCGGGAAACCGGAGCUAAUACCGGAUAAUAUUUUGAACCGCAUGGUUCAAAAGUGAAAGACGGUCUUGCUGUCACUUAUAGAUGGAUCCGCGCUGCAUUAGCUAGUUGGUAAGGUAACGGCUUACCAAGGCAACGAUGCAUAGCCGACCUGAGAGGGUGAUCGGCCACACUGGAACUGAGACACGGUCCAGACUCCUACGGGAGGCAGCAGUAGGGAAUCUUCCGCAAUGGGCGAAAGCCUGACGGAGCAACGCCGCGUGAGUGAUGAAGGUCUUCGGAUCGUAAAACUCUGUUAUUAGGGAAGAACAUAUGUGUAAGUAACUGUGCACAUCUUGACGGUACCUAAUCAGAAAGCCACGGCUAACUACGUGCCAGCAGCCGCGGUAAUACGUAGGUGGCAAGCGUUAUCCGGAAUUAUUGGGCGUAAAGCGCGCGUAGGCGGUUUUCUAAGUCUGAUGUGAAAGCCCACGGCUCAACCGUGGAGGGUCAUUGGAAACUGGAAAACUUGAGUGCAGAAGAGGAAAGUGGAAUUCCAUGUGUAGCGGUGAAAUGCGCAGAGAUAUGGAGGAACACCAGUGGCGAAG
rnacentral:rRNA from 1 species